UUUCGAGUGGCAGAAUAAAUAUGCGUCAAGCUUAAAACCUGAAGAUGAGGUUUACCUCGCCUCCUCGAAAA
rnacentral:tRNA from 1 species